GAUGAAGAACGCAGCGAAAUGCGAUAAGUAAUGUGAAUUGCAGAAUUCAGUGAAUCAUCGAAUCUUUGAACGCACAUUGCGCCCGCCAGUAUUCUGGCGGGCAUGCCUGUUCGAGCGUCAUUUCAACCAUCAAGCCCUGCUUGCGUUGGGGUCCUGCAGCUGCCCGCAGGCCCUGAAAACCAGUGGCGGGCUCGCUAGUCACACCGAGCGCAGUAAUACAUCUCGCUUUGGGCGUGCGGCGGGUUCUUGCCGUUAAACACCCCCUUUUUACCAAGGUUGACCUCGGAUCAGGUAGGAAUACCCGCUGAACUUAAGCAUAUCAAUAAGCGGAGGA
rnacentral:misc_RNA from 1 species